rnacentral:rRNA from 1 species
AUUGAACGCUGGCGGAAUGCUUUACACAUGCAAGUCGAACGGCAGCACGGGGCAACCUGGUGGCGAGUGGCGAACGGGUGAGUAAUACAUCGGAACGUGCCCAAUCGUGGGGGAUAACGUAGCGAAAGUUACGCUAAUACCGCAUACGAUCUACGGAUGAAAGCGGGGGAUCGCAAGACCUCGCGCGAAUGGAGCGGCCGAUGUCAGAUUAGGUAGUUGGUGGGGGUAAAGGCUCACCAAGCCGACGAUCUGUAGCUGGUCUGAGAGGACGACCAGCCACACUGGGACUGAGACACGGCCCAGACUCCUACGGGAGGCAGCAGUGGGGAAUUUUGGACAAUGGCGCAAGCCUGAUCCAGCCAUUCCGCGUGCAGGA